CAGCCGCCACGGGAAUACAGAGGGUGCGAGCGUUAAUCGGAUUUACUGGGCGUAAAGCGUGCGUAGGCGGCUUUUUAAGUCGGAUGUGAAAUCCCUGAGCUUAACUUAGGAAUUGCAUUCGAUACUGGGAAGCUAGAGUAUGGGAGAGGAUGGUAGAAUUCCAGGUGUAGCGGUGAAAUGCGUAGAGAUCUGGAGGAAUACCGAUGGCGAAGGCAGCCAUCUGGCCUAAUACUGACGCUGAGGUACGAAAGCAUGGGGAGCAAACAGGAUUAGAGACCCCAGUAGUUCCUGUCUCUUAUAC
rnacentral:rRNA from 1 species